UACGUAGGGGGCAAGCGUUGUCCGGAUUUAUUGGGCGUAAAGAGCUCGUAGGCGGUUUGGUAAGUCUGGUGUGAAAUCUCCACGCUCAACGUGGAGGGGCCACCCGAUACUGCCAUGACUAGAGGUCGGUAGGGGAGUGUGGAAUUCCUGGUGGAGCGGUGAAAUGCGCAGAUAUCAGGAGGAACACCCGUAGCGAAGGCGGCACUCUGGGCCGAUUCUGACACUGAGGAGCGAAAGCGUGGGGAGCGAACAGG
rnacentral:rRNA from 1 species